rnacentral:rRNA from 1 species
UUCCGUAGGGUGAACCUGCGGAGGGAUCAUUACCGAGUUUACAACUCCCAAACCCCUGUGAACAUACCUAUACGUUGCCUCGGCGGAUCAGCCCGCGCCCCGUAAAACGGGACGGCCCGCCCGAGGACCCCUAAACUCUGUUUUUAGUGGAACUUCUGAGUAAAACAAACAAAUAAAUCAAAACUUUCAACAACGGAUCUCUUGGUUCUGGCAUCGAUGAAGAACGCAGCAAAAUGCGAUAAGUAAUGUGAAUUGCAGAAUUCAGUGAAUCAUCGAAUCUUUGAACGCACAUUGCGCCCGCCAGUAUUCUGGCGGGCAUGCCUGUUCGAGCGUCAUUUCAACCCUCAAGCUCAGCUUGGUGUUGGGACUCGCGGUAACCCGCGUUCCCCAAAUCGAUUGGCGGUCACGUCGAGCUUCCAUAGCGUAGUAAUCAUACACCUCGUUACUGGUAAUCGUCGCGGCCACGCCGUUAAACCCCAACUUCUGAAUGUGACCUCGAUCAGUAGAACCCCCCGC